GAGUUUGAUCAUGGCUCAGGAUGAACGCUGGCGGCGUGCUUAACACAUGCAAGUCGAACGAACCUUCGGGUUAGUGGCGGACGGGUGAGUAACGCGUGAGAAUCUGCCCUCAGGAGGGGGAUAACGGUUGGAAACGACCGCUAAUACCCCAUAUGCCGAUAGGUGAAAUGAAUUUCGCCUGAGGAUGAGCUCGCGUCUGAUUAGCUAGUUGGUGAGGUAAUGGCUCACCAAGGCUUCGAUCAGUAGCUGGUCUGAGAGGAUGAUCAGCCACACUGGGACUGAGACACGGCCCAGACUCCUACGGGAGGCAGCAGUGGGGAAUUUUCCGCAAUGGGCGAAAGCCUGACGGAGCAACGCCGCGUGAGGGAAGAAGGCCUCUGGGCUGUAAACCUCUUUUCUCAAGGAAGAAGAUAUGACGGUACUUGAGGAAUAAGCCACGGCUAAUUCCGUGCCAGCAGCCGCGGUAAUACGGGAGUGGCAAGCGUUAUCCGGAAUUAUUGGGCGUAAAGCGUCCGCAGGCGGCUUAUCAAGUCUGCUGUUAAAGCGUGGAGCUUAACUCCAUCAUGGCAGUGGAAACUGAUAGGCUUGAGUAUGGUAGGGGCAGAGGGAAUUCCCGGUGUAGCGGUGAAAUGCGUAGAUAUCGGGAAGAACACCAGUGGCGAAGGCGCUCUGCUGGGCCAUUACUGACGCUCAUGGACGAAAGCCAGGGGAGCGAAAGGGAUUAGAUACCCCUGUAGUCCUGGCCGUAAACGAUGAACACUAGGUGUCGGGGGAAUCGACCCCUUCGGUGUCGUAGCUAACGCGUUAAGUGUUCCGCCUGGGGAGUACGCACGCAAGUGUGAAACUCAAAGGAAUUGACGGGGGCCCGCACAAGCGGUGGAGUAUGUGGUUUAAUUCGAUGCAACGCGAAGAACCUUACCAGGGUUUGACAUCCUGCGAACCUCUUAGAAAUUUGAGGGUGCCUUCGGGAAUGCAGUGACAGGUGGUGCAUGGCUGUCGUCAGCUCGUGUCGUGAGAUGUUGGGUUAAGUCCCGCAACGAGCGCAACCCACGUUUUUAGUUGCCAGCAUUUAGUUGGGCACUCUAGAAAGACCGCCGGUGAUAAACCGGAGGAAGGUGUGGAUGACGUCAAGUCAUCAUGCCCCUUACACCCUGGGCUACACACGUACUACAAUGCUACGGACAAAGGGCAGCAAACUCGCGAGAGCUAGCAAAUCCCAUAAACCGUGGCUCAGUUCAGAUCGUAGGCUGCAACUCGCCUACGUGAAGUAGGAAUCGCUAGUAAUCGCAGGUCAGCAUACUGCGGUGAAUACGUUCCCGGGCCUUGUACACACCGCCCGUCACACCAUGGAAGUUGGCCAUGCCCGAAGUCGUUACUCCAACCCUUGUGGAGGAGGACGCCGAAGGUGGGGCUAAUGACUGGGGUGAAGUCAUAACAAGGUAGCCGUA
rnacentral:rRNA from 1 species